rnacentral:rRNA from 1 species
AUACGUAGGGUGCAAGCGUUAUCCGGAAUUAUUGGGCGUAAAGGGCUCGUAGGCGGUUCGUCGCGUCCGGUGUGAAAGUCCAUCGCUUAACGGUGGAUCCGCGCCGGGUACGGGCGGGCUUGAGUGCGGUAGGGGAGACUGGAAUUCCCGGUGUAACGGUGGAAUGUGUAGAUAUCGGGAAGAACACCAAUGGCGAAGGCAGGUCUCUGGGCCGUUACUGACGCUGAGGAGCGAAAGCGUGGGGAGCGAACAGGAUUAGAUACCCUGGUAGUCCACGCCGUAAACGGUGGAUGCUGGAUGUGGGGCCCGUUCCACGGGUUCCGUGUCGGAGCUAACGCGUUAAGCAUCCCGCCUGGGGAGUACGGCCGCAAGGCUAAAACUCAAAGAAAUUGGCGGGGGCCCGCACAAGCGGCGGAGCAUGCGGAUUAAUUCGAUGCAACGCGAAGAACCUUACCUGGGCUUGACAUGUUCCCGACGAUCCCAGAGAUGGGGUUUCCCUUCGGGGCGGGUUCACAGGUGGUGCAUGGUCGUCGUCAGCUCGUGUCGUGAGAUGUUGGGUUAAGUCCCGCAACGAGCGCAACCCUCGCCCCGUGUUGCCAGCGGAUUAUGCCGGGAACUCACGGGGGACCGCCGGGGUUAACUCGGAGGAAGGUGGGGAUGACGUCAGAUCAUCAUGCCCCUUACGUCCAGGGCUUCACGCAUGCUACAAUGGCCGGUACAACGGGAUGCGACGCGGCGACGCGGAGCGGAUCCCUGAAAACCGGUCUCAGUUCGGAUCGCAGUCAUGCAACUCGACUGCGUGAAGGCGGAGUCGCUAGUAAUCGCGAAUCAGCAACGUCGCGGUGAAUGCGUUCCCGGGCCUUGUACACACCGCCCGUCAAGUCAUGAAAGUGGGCAGCACCCGAAGCCGGUGGCCUAACCCCUUGCGGGAGGGAGCCGUCUAAGGUGAGGCUCGUGAUUGGGACU